rnacentral:rRNA from 1 species
CUCAGGAUGAACGCUGGCGGCGCAUUUAAGACAUGCAAGUCGAACGAAAAUUUACGCUUAAAGAGUUGAUUAGUUUACUAAAAGACAAUUUAUUGUAAAUUUUAGUGGCGGACUGGUGAGUAAUACAUAGGUAAUCUGCCUUUUAGAGGGGAAUAACUAGGAGAAAUCCUAGCUAAUACCGCGUAAGACCACACUUAGGCAUCUAAGAGAGGUCAAAGGAGUAAUCCGCUAAAAGAUGAGCCUGUGGCUGAUUAGUUAGUUGGUGGGGUAAGAGCCUACCAAGACGAUGAUCAGUAGCCGAGCUGAGAGGCUGGCCGGCCACAUUGGGACUGAGAUACGGCCCAGACUCCUACGGGAGGCAGCAGUUGGGAAUAUUGGACAAUGGAGGAAACUCUGAUCCAGUGACGCCGCGUGAAGGAAGAAGGUCUUCGGAUUGUAAACUUAUUUUAUCAGGGAAGAAGAAGGUGACAGUACCUGAAGAAAAAGGACCGGCAAACUACGUGCCAGCAGCCGCGGUAAUACGUAGGGUCCAAGCGUUAUCCGGAUUUACUGGGUGUAAAGGGCGAGUAGACGGCGCUGUAAGUCAGCUGUGAAAACUUAGGGCUCAACCUUAAGCCUGCAGCUGAAACUGUAGUGCUAGAGUGCAGGAGAGGUAAGCGGAAUUCCUAGUGUAGCGGUGAAAUGCGUAGAUAUUAGGAGGAACACCAGUGGCGAAGGCGGUUUACUGGACUGUAACUGACGUUGAGGCGCGAAAGUGUGGGGAGCAAACAGGAUUAGAUACCCUGGUAGUCCACACCGUAAACGAUGGAUACUAGGUGUAGGCGAGAUAUCGUCUGUGCCGGCGCAAACGCAAUAAGUAUCCCACCUGGGGAGUACGGCCGCAAGGUUGAAACUCAAAUGAAUUGACGG